rnacentral:rRNA from 1 species
ACCCGCUGAACUUAAGCAUAUCAAUAAGCGGAGGAAAAGAAACCAACCGGGAUUACCUCAGUAACGGCGAGUGAAGCGGUAACAGCUCAAAUUUGAAAUCUGGCUCCUCUGGAGUCCGAGUUGUAAUUUGUAGAAGAUGCUUUGGGUUGUGGGUUCGGCCUAAGUUCCUUGGAACAGGACGUCAUAGAGGGUGAGAAUCCCGUAUGUGGCCGAGGCCCGCGCCUAUGUAAAGCUCUUUCAACGAGUCGAGUUGUUUGGGAAUGCAGCUCAAAAUGGGUGGUAAAUUUCAUCUAAAGCUAAAUAUGGGCCAGAGACCGAUAGCGCACAAGUAGAGUGAUCGAAAGAUGAAAAGCACUUUGGAAAGAGAGUUAAACAGUACGUGAAAUUGUUGAAAGGGAAGCGCUUGCACCCAGACUUGGGCGCUGCUGAUCACCUUGCGGUCUCCGCGAGUGCACUCGACAGCGCACAGGCCAGCAUCGGUUCGGGUGGCUGGAUAAAGGCCGUAGGAACGUAGCUCCCUUCGGGGAGUGUUAUAGCCUACGGUGCCAUGCAGCCCAGCCGGACCGAGGACCGCGCCUUCGGGCUAGGAUGCUGGCGUAAUGGGUGUAAGCGACCCGUCUUGAAACACGGACCAAGG